UACAGAGGUGGCAAGCGUUGUUCGGAACUACUGGGCGUAAAGCGUGCGUAGGCGGCGAUGCAAGACAGAUGUGAAAUCCCCGGGCUUAACCUGGGAACUGCAUUUGUGACUGCAUGGCUAGAGUGUGUCAGAGGGAGGUGGAAUUCCGCGUGUAGCAGUGAAAUGCGUAGAGAUGCGGAGGAACACCGAUGGCGAAGGCAGCCUCCUGGGAUAACACUGACGCUCAGGCACGAAAGCGUGGGGAGCAAACAGG
rnacentral:rRNA from 1 species